UUUGUAGGCGCAGCACCAUUA
rnacentral:siRNA from 1 species